rnacentral:rRNA from 1 species
CAGGACGAACGCUGGCGGCGUGCCUAACACAUGCAAGUCGAACGGACGAGGGGAGCUUGCUCCCCGAGUUAGUGGCGAACGGGUGAGUAACGCGUGAGCAACCUGCCUUUCAGAGGGGGACAACGGUUGGAAACGACCGCUAAUACCGCAUGAAGCAAUCGGACCGCAUGAUCUGAUUGCCAAAGAUUUUAUCGCUGAAAGAUGGGCUCGCGUCUGAUUAGAUAGUUGGUGGGGUAACGGCUCACCAAGUCGACGAUCAGUAGCCGGACUGAGAGGUUGAACGGCCACAUUGGGACUGAGAUACGGCCCAGACUCCUACGGGAGGCAGCAGUGGGGAAUAUUGGGCAAAGUGGGGGAAACCCUGACCCAGCAACGCCGCGUGAAGGAAGAAGGCUUUCGGGUUGUAAACUUCUUUACCAGGGACGAAGGACGUGACGGUACCUGGAGAAAAAGCCACGGCUAACUACGUGCCAGCAGCCGC